UGUUAUAUAAUUAUGAAAUAAUGUGAUACCAUUAAAUUAAACUAUACUUUAUAUUAGAUGCUCUAGAAUUCUUUGAAAAGGAAUUUAGAAAGCAUUUAGAGUAUCAACUAGGAUUUGGAGUUUUUUUUUAAUUAAUACAAAAUUAAGUUUCUCAAUUGAUUUAGAUUUGAACCAUUAUUUACCUUUAGAUUCUUCAGGAAUUCGAUACCAAAUCUCCAACACCACAAUCCCUCUUUUUGUUCCAUCCCCUCCCACAAAAAUCGUGAUUUGAAAAUCGUAGCUAACAAUCAUGGCUAUGGACAAGGACAACAACCACGCUAGCAACGUCGCUGAUCAAGAUUAACGAAGCGGUUGCCGAAGGAUCGCCAAACCGGUGUCGUCUCAGAAUCCGUAGUGGAAGCGAGAAAGGAGAGGAAGGUGCGGAGACGGCAGUGGCGGUGGCUGUGGAUGAUGAGAGCGGAUCAAAUAUGGUUAGAGAGAUACCUACCCAUCUUCCUCCGCUCGAGCUCCCUUCAAUAAUCUGAGUCUAAUCAAUUUGGAUCUUGUUGUCGCUCGCACGCUCCAAGAACAUGUGGGCCUAUUUCUUUUUUGGCAUCUCUUUGUUUCAGAUUUUUCUGAGUUUCUAAGAGUUUGUAUCCUAUUCAAUCGCUGAUUACAUACGGUUCAAGCGCCGCUUCGGCGCCGACAUCAAUCAUCAGCUACAAGAAACGCUUCUCUUGGAUUCUCCCUAACCCCUUUCUUCAGGUAGAUUUGGUCACAACAAUUUAUAUUGAAGAUAAAGAAAAUAGAGACUAACCUUCAAGAACAUGCUCGUCUGGCCUGAUUGAAGAAUCAGCACAGACAUCGCACACAACUCUGCGGCGAAUCUCGCUAGUUCACGAAUCAACAGCAGACGCUUUCAGAUUCAACAUCAUUCAUUAGACUUGUUGUGUGUUAAAAAAAGGUACAUGCUUUUAAUAAUGAGUAGAUGAUACUGAGCAUCCAAUGACUGCAGAUAAUAGUUUGACAAGUCGAAGCCUAUCUACGUACAAGACAUUGGCAUUCUCUUUACAAUUCCGAGUAAUUGUUGUCUUUUUAUACAAUAAAAUAUUGAAGAAACAAAGUACUGAAACACAUUCUAGCGAGAACCCCAUGAUUUCAGCUGCAUGUAUCAAGCUUCUUUCUAGAAAAGAGUUUCACGCACAUUUUCAGGAAAAAAAGAUGGAAGUGGAUAUGUUUGGGUAGUGUUGAGAAUUACACCAGAGGCUUGAGGCAGCUCAUGGGGGGAAGGAAUUAGAGCUCAGCUAUGAGACAAUAUAUAUGUGCGUGUGAUGUUUGUCUUGGAAAACUACAUACAAAUGCAACAAGAUCCUUGGCUGUAUUGGCUGUUACAUACCAAUGUGUGCAGAUUUAAAUUUCAAAAGAAAACACAAAGAAGAAAGCUAAGAUAGAAGCAGGAAGGAGAUCACAACAACGGAAAAUCUGGGUUUUUUUUCUUAUAUGAGAGGCUGUAAUUGAUUCAUGCUAGACAGAAGACAAGCUGACUCUCAUGGAGGAAGGACAAAUGAUUAGGCAUCUAGGAUUAUCUGUACGUGAAGAGCCUUUUGGCCAUAUGAAAGCACAAGAUAUAUUCUCAUUUGCAA